GAUGAACGCUGGCGGCGUGCUUAACACAUGCAAGUCGAACGAAGCACUCUAUUUGAUUUUUUUCGGAAAUGAAGAUUUUGUGACUGAGUGGCGGACGGGUGAGUAACGCGUGGGUAACCUGCCUCAUACAGGGGGAUAACCGUUGGAAACGACUGCUAAUACCGCAUAAGCGAACAGUACUGCAUGGUACAGUGUGAAAAACUCCGGUGGUAUGAGAUGGACCCGCGUCUGAUUAGCUAGUUGGUGGGGUAACGGCCUACCAAGGCGACGAUCAGUAGCCGACCUGAGAGGGUGACCGGCCACAUUGGGACUGAGACACGGCCCAAACUCCUACGGGAGGCAGCAGUGGGGAAUAUUGCACAAUGGGGGAAACCCUGAUGCAGCGACGCCGCGUGAACGAAGAAGUAUUUCGGUAUGUAAAGUUCUAUCAGCAGGGAAGAUAAUGACGGUACCUGACUAAGAAGCACCGGCUAAAUACGUGCCAGCCGCCGCAGUAA
rnacentral:rRNA from 1 species